GAUGAACGCUGGCGGCGUGCCUAAUACAUGCAAGUCGAGCGAACAGACGAGGAGCUUGCUCCUCUGACGUUAGAGGCGGACGGGUGAGGAACACGUGGAUAACCUACCUAUAAGACUGGGAUAACUUCGGGAAACCGGAGCUAAUACCGGAUAAUAUAUUGAACCGCAUGGUUCAAUAGUGAAAGACGGUUUUGCUGUCACUUAUAGAUGGCUCCGCGCCGCAUUAGCUAGUUGGUAAGGUAACGGCUUACCAAGGCAACGAUGCGUAGCCGACCUGAGAGGGUGAUCGGCCACACUAGAACUGAGACACGGUCCAGACUCCUACGGGAGGCAGCAGUAGGGAAUCUUCCGCAAUGGGCGAAAGCCUGACGGAGCAACGCCGCGUGAGUGAUGAUGGUCUUCGGAUCGUAAAACUCUGUUAUUAGGGAAGAACAAAUGUGUAAGUAACUAUGCACGUCUUGACGGUACCUAAUCAGAAAGCCACGGCUAACUACGUG
rnacentral:rRNA from 1 species